rnacentral:rRNA from 1 species
CGUGUGCUUACAAGUAGUCAGAGCCCGUUAAUGGGUGAUGGCGUGCCUUUUGUAGAAUGAACCGGCGAGUUACGAUUUGAUGCAAGGUUAAGCAGUAAAUGUGGAGCCGUAGCGAAAGCGAGUCUGAAUAGGGCGUUUAGUAUUUGGUCGUAGACCCGAAACCAGGUGAUCUACCCUUGGUCAGGUUGAAGUUCAGGUAACACUGAAUGGAGGACCGAACCGACUUACGUUGAAAAGUGAGCGGAUGAACUGAGGGUAGCGGAGAAAUUCCAAUCGAACCUGGAGAUAGCUGGUUCUCUCCGAAAUAGCUUUAGGGCUAGCCUCAAGUGAUGAUUAUUGGAGGUAGAGCACUGUUUGGACGAGGGGCCCCUCUCGGGUUACCGAAUUCAGACAAACUCCGAAUGCCAAUUAAUUUAACUUGGGAGUCAGAACAUGGGUGAUAAGGUCCGUGUUCGAAAGGGAAACAGCCCAGACCACCAGCUAAGGUCCCAAAAUAUAUGUUAAGUGGAAAAGGAUGUGGCGUUGCCCAGACAACUAGGAUGUUGGCUUAGAAGCAGCCAUCAUUUAAAGAGUGCGUAAUAGCUCACUAGUCGAGUGACACUGCGCCGAAAAUGUACCGGGGCUAAACAUAUUACCGAAGCUGUGGAUUGUCCUUUGGACAAUGGUAGGAGAGCGUUCUAAGGGCGUUGAAGCAUGAUCGUAAGGACAUGUGGAGCGCUUAGAAGUGAGAAUGCCGGUGUGAGUAGCGAAAGACGGGUGAGAAUCCCGUCCACCGAUUGACUAAGGUUUCCAGAGGAAGGCUCGUCCGCUCUGGGUUAGUCGGGUCCUAAGCUGAGGCCGACAGGCGUAGGCGAUGGAUAACAGGUUGAUAUUCCUGUACCACCUAUAAUCGUUUUAAUCGAUGGGGGGACGCAGUAGGAUAGGCGAAGCGUGCGAUUGGAUUGCACGUCUAAGCAGUAAGGCUGAGUAUUAGGCAAAUCCGGUACUCGUUAAGGCUGAGCUGUGAUGGGGAGAAGACAUUGAGUCUUCGAGUCGUUGAUUUCACACUGCCGAGAAAAGCCUCUAGAUAGAAAAUAGGUGCCCGUACCGCAAACCGACACAGGUAGUCAAGAUGAGAAUUCUAAGGUGAGCGAGCGAACUCUCGUUAAGGAACUCGGCAAAAUGACCCCGUAACUUCGGGAGAAGGGGUGCUCUUUAGGGUUAACGCCCAGAAGAGCCGCAGUGAAUAGGCCCAAGCGACUGUUUAUCAAAAACACAGGUCUCUGCUAAACCGUAAGGUGAUGUAUAGGGGCUGACGCCUGCCCGGUGCUGGAAGGUUAAGAGGAGUGGUUAGCUUCUGCGAAGCUACGAAUCGAAGCCCCAGUAAACGGCGGCCGUAACUAUAACGGUCCUAAGGUAGCGAAAUUCCUUGUCGGGUAAGUUCCGACCCGCACGAAAGGCGUAACGAUUUGGGCACUGUCUCAACGAGAGACUCGGUGAAAUCAUAGUACCUGUGAAGAUGCAGGUUACCCGCGACAGGACGGAAAGACCCCGUGGAGCUUUACUGUAGCCUGAUAUUGAAAUUCGGCACAGCUUGUACAGGAUAGGUAGGAGCCUUUGAAACGUGAGCGCUAGCUUACGUGGAGGCGCUGGUGGGAUACUACCCUAGCUGUGUUGGCUUUCUAACCCGCACCACUUAUCGUGGUGGGAGACAGUGUCAGGCGGGCAGUUUGACUGGGGCGGUCGCCUCCUAAAAGGUAACGGAGGCGCUCAAAGGUUCCCUCAGAAUGGUUGGAAAUCAUUCAUAGAGUG